GUAGGGAAUAUUGGGCAAUGGAGGCAACUCUGACCCAGCCAUGCCGCGUGCAGGAUGACGGCCCUCUGGGUUGUAAACUGCUUUUAUACGGGAAGAAAAAAUACUACGUGUAGUAUACUGACGGUACCGUAAGAAUAAGGAUCGGCUAACUCCGUGCCAGCAGCCGCGGUAAUACGGAGGAUCCAAGCGUUGUCCGGAUUUAUUGGGUUUAAAGGGUGUGUAGGCGGAUCUUUAAGUCAGUGGUGAAAGCCUGCAGCUUAACUGUAGAAUUGCCAUUGAAACUGAAGAUAUUGAAUGUGGUUAAAGUAGGCGGAAUGUAUCAUGUAGCGGUGAAAUGCUUAGAUAUGAUACAGAACACCGAUAGCGAAGGCAGCUUGCUGAACCAUUAUUGACGCUGAGGCACGAAAGCGUGGGGAGCGAACAGGAUUAGAAACCCGGGUAGUCC
rnacentral:rRNA from 1 species